rnacentral:rRNA from 1 species
CCUACGGGAGGCAGCAGUGGGGAAUAUUGCGCAAUGGGCGAAAGCCUGACGCAGCGACGCCGCGUGAGGGAUGAAGGUCUUCGGAUUGUAAACCUCUGUCAGCAGGGAAGAACGGUCACUGUGCUAAUCAGCAGUGAAUUGCCGGUACCUGCAAACGAAGCACCGGCUAACUCCGUGCCAGCAGCCGCGGUAAUACGGAGGAUGCAAGCGUUAAUCGGAAUUACUGGGCGUAAAGCGCGCGUAGGCGGUAGGUCAAGUCAGAGGUGAAAUCCCCGCGCUCAACGUGGGAACUGCCUUUGAAACUGGCAAACUGGAGUGUUGGAGAGGAUAGUGGAAUUCCAGGUGUAGCAGUGAAAUCCGUAGAUAUCAGGAGGAACACCAGUGGCGAAGGCGACUAUCUGGAACAUAACUGACGCUGAGGAGCGAAAGCGUGGGUAGCAAACAGGAUUAGAUACCCUGGUAGUC